UUUAGAAUAACGCCACUAUAUAAACUCCUUACCGUAUAGACGUAUUUACGUCAAAUUCUCCGGAACUUUAAAUUUUUAUGUCUUGUACAACACAUAAAAUCACUUAUGAUUAAAAAAUAUAAUUACCUGUUAUUGAUAGUGCUGUCUUACUACAACAGACAGUUUAAGUUUACCUCAUUUGAUGUGACUAGGAGCAUACUUGUGAAGAGGUCAACCCUAAAAGGUUCAGACAUUCAGUAAUAAUAAUUGUCAACAGGAUUCCCUUCCUUUGAAGUCUGAAAAAUAAUUGUAUAUGACACUAGACAGAAUAUAAAAUUCACUGCAACGUAAUAUUUGUUACUACAGCCAUAUAAUGUUCAAUUUUUCUUAAUUUCAGGCUCAGAUCAGUCACAAUUACAAAACUAUGCAAUUGUUUAACCAUGUAUAAACUUUUUUAAAGUUCUUCUUGUGGUGAUGAUGACUGAAGUUUCAGGUCCUCUGGCUUUCUUAAUGCAUUGGUCCAGUCUUUCCUUUCCACAUGCAUAUGUGUUCCUUUAAAGAAGCAUUUCCAUUAUCCUCCUUGUUGACUUUACCUGUUGUUUGAUAUGGAAUUCAGUAAAACUGCUCAUACUGUGCCAUACAAAUGGAAUCCAGCAAUCAUCCAAACAUCUUACGGCUGUAGGCAAAAUGGAAAUAAAAAUAAGAAUCACUCAUGUUAAGUUCAAGCCCUAUUUUGACAAUCUGCAAGAAAUCCAUACUCAAAAUUAAAGGCAUAUCCUUGAAUGUCGCCAUAUUUUCAAAGCAUGCUGUGCAUUUCCUGCAGUUUCAACCAGGUACCUAGUUUUAAAAUUAGUGUAAAUGUUUUUAUGUUAUUUAAACUGAUAUGUAUCACAUCUGUACAAUUAUAAACUGGUAAGGCAACACAAUACAUGUGCACCAAAGGGGAAUUGAGGGAAAGCCUUGAAUUGCAUGUCAUUGGUACAAUGGUGGUUAAUCUAGGGCAUCCUUGGACACUAAAUUCAGCAGACAAGCUGCUAGAAUCACUUCAAACAUUAAACAUUUUUCUUUGUAAAUCGAGAAGAGACUAUUCAAAAUUGUACAGAAUGAAACGGACAUCCAAGAAAUGUUUAAUUAUGCUAUUAAUAUUAGUGUAUCUUAGAGAUCUCUGCAUAUAAAUGUUUAUUUUACUUGUUUUGGUCAUUUUGCUGUAUAUUGAACAACAAUGUUACAAAGUGAAUUGCAUUUAUUGUAGAGGAUAAAGCUUAAAAUUUGGUGGUUGGCUUUAAAAAAACAACAGUGAGACGAUGGUGAAAAGAAGGUUCUUUUUGUAGAAGUGUAAUAGAUGAGGACUUUCUUGAUUGUUCAGAAAAAUAAAGGAACUGUUUUCAGAGUGGUUCAUGCAGUCAACUUAUCAUUGCUGCAUUUUGUGAAAUAGCAGGUGCUGCCUACAUUUUGAUGCAAGAAAGAAGUGUAUUUUGUGGAGGCUUCUGAGUGAGGAUCCAUCUUUAUUCUAAAAUUUUGCUAGUAAAAGCAUUGCAUUUCUUACUAUAGUUUUGCAGCAGGUAUUGACAGUUACCAAUAUUCAGUAUGGCAUAAGAUGACUAAGUUUCCUGUGAUUUCCAUAAUAACAUCCCAGGUUUUGUGAGAUUUGAAUUUCUCAUGGUGAAGAAGAUGACAGUGAUAUUCUUAGAAGUGCAACAUCAUCAUUAUCAUUAUCAUAGUUUUGAUUGACAAAGCCUGAAGAUGAUCUGAUAUAGUAAAAUAAACUUGUGUUUAAAGUUCACAGGACAUUGAAACGAUACACAUUCAUGUUCUGAUUGUUCAGUCUUUGAAUCUGGUAUAUGUUUUGGUGCAAUGUCCUGCCACAGAACUCCUUUCUUUAGUUAAUUUUUCAAAAUUCACACCAAAGGAUUGUUGAAUUGUAUUCAGUGUUUCAAGGGUUUUGACUCUUAGUACAUGCUUUGGUUAUGCCAGUUUUAUUGGCAAGAAAUCAAGUUUCAUGCAAAUUUUUAGCAUGUGCUAGAGUACAGUUCCUUACUGCAUCACAGUGUGUAAUAGGCAUUGCUGUAUCAUGAAUAUAAAUAUAACUACAGAAUAGGUUGGUGAAGUGUUGAACUUCAUGGAAAUUUUAUAUAAGUUAAAAAUUGUCUAGUUUUUUUAAGUGUUACACAAGUUAAAAAUUGCCCAGUCUUCUUUUUUAACAUAAUUGUUAUCAUAUUCAUUACAUGAUAGUUCUGCAUCAUAUGUAGAGAUACUCAUUCACUGAAUGUCAUUUGAAACAUACUUUGCAGUACUUAUAAAACAUAAUUUCUCACCAGAUUUUGAAAGAAACUGUAAUAUGUUGCACUGGUCCACCUUUAAAGCAUUGUACACACAUUGACAUGUGUGUAUGUACAUGUUAUACAUACUGUAUUGGUCUGAGCUCAGAAACCCUGUAGGAUGAGUUAUGAAGAGAUGAGCUAGAAUAAGGAAAAGCAAUAGCCAGUCAGCAAGUAAUUGCUUCUUUACUGUAUGCAGCUUUUAUCUACCUUGGAAAUAUUUGACACAAACUGCCUCUGUAAGAAACUUUUGCCCUGUGAUGUGGAAAGGAUCUGCUCUUAGUGAAUUAUAUUUUUGUUUGUAUAUUCUGACAAAUACCAAAGGAAAUCAGUAUAUAGAUUCUGCAAACAGCAAAGGCAGAAUUGGUCAGUACUUUCAUUCUGAGUAGUAGGUACAGCUCCUUCUCCUUGCCACCACCCACAUUCCAGUUUUCGCAUUCCGUGAAGAGUUUUAGAGCUCAAACCCAUGUGUAUUUACAGACCUGUGUAUAUACAUAUACAGAGACUCCUGUAUUUUAAAUAUGUUAUUGCCUACUAUCUUUACUUUAUAUAUAACUUCAUGAAUGUAUAGUACCUUCUGAUGUGUGACUUUCAUUUAUCAAAGAAGGAAGAUUUAGUAAUGAACUUUGAAAUGCAAGAAAAAUUACAUAGUAGUUUUAGCCAUCAACCAUUCAUAAAGUGUAUUUUUAAAAUUGUAUAAAGUAUCAGUCUUAUUUCAUAUUGGUCAGAAAGGCUACUAAUUACACCAAAUUCUGAAUUCACUCUUAACUCUUAAUCUUCAAGUAAAAUUGCAUGUGCACGGCUCUAAUUCUUUGUCUGUAAAAAUAUUAACAGACUUCAAUUACUUUCAUUUAUGGAAUGUGGAUGAAAAAUGUCAUUCAGCAUACAGCAACAGCAAAACAGCUUCUGUCUCAGACCCACUGCACGUGGCAGUAAGAGGGAAAAAAUUGCAAAGAAAUGAUGCUUUAUGAGCAUAACCAAAGUACUUAACAGGUAAUUUGUAAUAUCAUAAAUAUGCAACUGGGAAUAAAUUAAAAUUAUCUCACAAAAUAUCCAUCAGACUGCAGGAUAUUUAAGAUAUUUUACUUGGCAAGAAGAUAUUUGUUAUUUAUGGUUUUAUGUGUUAGGAUCUGGUUCAUCCACCUAUAUGUUUCACUUCCCAAAUCAUUUCAUAAAUUUUGGUUUGGGAGAUUUGUAUUAUAAUUAUUGCCAAAUUAACUGUAUGUCAGUAUUGGUCCAUUGUACAUACACUCCAAACUAGAGUGUACCUUUCUCCUCUUGUUCAUAUAAUGCAUUAUGUUCAAUAAGGAAUAAGGACAGCUCUUCUUCAUGCUUUAUGGUCAUUGUACACUUUACUGAUGUGAUUAAUGUUUCUGCCAAAUGAAUGUAAAAUGGUAGGCUGUGAAAUUCAUUUAUAAUUUAAGUUUAGUGUUCAUUGACAGAAAUUUGGAUCCUCAUGAAAUGUGUUAUAUGAAUUGUUGCACAGAAUUAUGCAAGUUCCAUUUUACAGCAACAGUUUCUCCCACCCAAAUAUUUCUUCCACUGACUACUACAAUUCUACUUUUGCACACAUGGUAAUGUGAUAGUUGGUACUGGUGUUCUGGUAUAUUGAUAUAUUAGCGUCUGGAAUUAGGCAUUUAUUACCUACAUUUGUCUAAGUCAUGAAAAUAAUUUGAAGAGUUGAGAAAUGAGGGUAACAAGUGUGGACAGUAGUUCUAAUAAUUAUUAUUAUGAUAAUUAUAGUAAUAAUAAUAACAACAACAGGCAAAUUAAAUGAUUCAUGGCCACAAUUGAGUUUCAUUACGAGCAGUUGAGUUUGUUUCUGGAGAGAAGAAAGUGAGCAACAAACAUAAAGUUUAAUCCAUCAUUAAUUCAGAAAAGUAAUAUAUGUAUACACACUGAUAUAUUUUAAAACAAAAAAGAACGCUUGUAUUGUUGAUAAUAUUUUAUGCUUGUAGAUUUUGUUUUUAUUGUGUAUUGUUAACAGCUGUUUAUUACUUUGUUAUAUUUUACUGUCUUUUCUUUUAUUGCUUUUACAAGAUUAUGUAUUAUUUAUCUACAUGAUGAUUAUUAUUUAUUCAUUAACCUGUUAAAUUACUAUAGUUUUAUUCAAACAUGUUGGUUAAAAUAUUGACAGGCAUUUUGGUAUUUUAUACUCGUUUAAAGAUAUGAAUGUUUUAUUUUCUGUCAUUCAGAAGUGGAAUCCUCAAAAGCAGAGGUAUCAGGAUCAGACAGGAUGUUUAUUGGCAAAAAGUGUUCAUAUUUGCUUUUGAGGGAGAGUUUGUUUUUUAGUUUUGUAUUACAAUAAAAACAAGGCAGCAUUGCUUUGUUUAUAUUUGUAGAGUGUACAUGCAGUAGAAGAAUUGCUAUAAAAUUGGAAGCCUGCACAAAGCAUGAUAAGGACUCUUGAUAUUCUGGUUGGAAAAUACCAGAAGAUUAGCCAGUUUUUACUUAAAUACAACACCACCAUCAUUCUUAGGUAUGCUUUUAGUAUUGUUUUCUUUUCCAUGUCAUUGUUAUUUUAAUACUGAACAAACACAUGUACUGUUUAUUGAUGUAAUUAAAAUUGCAACUCCUCUCUAAAGGGGUGUGACUUGAAAUGUUAUCUUUAAACAUAUUUAAUAAUAAGUGAAAAAAAAUUUACUUUGGUGUAUAUUAUUGUGAGAUCAUAUGGCCAAAGUUUUUGAAUAAUAUAAUUUGAUGUUCAUAAAACCAGAUUUGCUUAUUAUAUUGGAAUAGACUGUCAUGUGUAUUCUCUGUUCAGAAACCUCUCAUAUUUAGAAUUUGGCCUUAAAACUUAUACUUGGAUAUUCCACAAGUAUAGUUUUAUUUGUUUUACAACACAGAUUUCUAAGAAGAUAAAGUUAAUUUUGCUAUUAAUUCAAUGUACAUUAAAAUUAAGAAGUAUAUAUAACUUCAAGAUAUCUUAUGCUAACAGUGAUUAUACAGUGUUUGGACAUGCACAUCAUUAAACAAGAUUAAAGAGGUGUCUGGCACUCCAAGUGUUUGUUCACAAAGACAGGGAGUUGACCUACACUAGUCUUCUCUGUUGCCUGGACCCCAAACCAUUCCUCCAGCAACCAGCCAUGUCCAUCUCUUGUUCACACCCAUGGAUAUGACCUUGAUAUUCUCAUUGCAGACCAUUGACUAACCAGGUGUAACCCUGAGGUUGUUGAGGAACAAGAACUAUCUGAAAGAAGAGGGUGCAUGACUUCUCUAUUCCAAGUUUGGUUGAAUCUUGCGAAAAUUUUGUUUUCUGACAUUAAAAUUUG